rnacentral:rRNA from 1 species
GGGUCAGUAGGUUGGUCGUGCCACCGGUACGUACUGGUCUCACUGAUUCCUCCUUCCUGAAGAACCGUAAUGCCAUUAAUCUAGUGUUGCGGGGAAACAGGACUGUUACUUUGAAAAAAUUAGAGUGUUUAAAGCAAGCUAACGCUUGAAUACAUUAGCAUGGAAUAAUGAAAUAGGACGAUCGAUCCUAUUUUGUUGGUUUCUAGGAUUGACGUA